UCGAACAAAUCGGCACCCUUAUCUUGUUCGCGCAUCUCUUCACUCGUUCCCGCAUCUGCAUUCCAAAAAAAUCUCGCGCCCCCACCCUCCCCCGCCGCCCACCGCUGCAAUAAAUCCGUGCACCUACGAUGUUGCCACCAAUCCUCUGCAGUUGAGCUCCAGAGCCGGUGGUCCUCUAAGGUCUGCAAGGAAAUUCGCCCUCACUUCACCCCCUUCGCAGUUCAGCCACCUCCAUUGAUGCGAGCUUCAACUGACGCCCGAUGCCGCAUAUUUUCACCAAGCACUGCUUCCAUUGAUUUAAGCUUCAACUGACGUCCGCCUCCGGUAGACGGAUAAGAUGCAUGUUGCCGGCUUUGAGCCAACCGUAGAGCGGAUGCCUGGAACAGCUCGAACCCACAUUGAUGAUGACCCUGAAGAAUUAGAUGCAUAUCACUCUAGCAGUUUAACUCCCGGGGGGUCACCUGACAACGCACAAGCCCAAUCCUCAUCUGCUGCUACUUCGCGCAUCUCUCUUAAGAAGUUUUGACUAUUGUUCAGACUUUCAAUGACUACAAGAAGGACUUGGUUAGGUCCAUUAGCUUUGGUGGAAUGCUAGAUCUUCCUAGGAUUAAGAAGCUAAACAUCAAGUUUAGCCUGUGGCUCAUGCAGAAAUUAGAUUGCCAGGCCUGAUCCAUUCGCAUAGAUGACAACCGUGUCCUUCGUUUGAUCCCCGAUGAUGUCAGUACUGUAUUUGGCAUCCCCUGCGGCCCAAAGGAUAUAUUAGGUCCUGAUGCCUUCAUCACGCAGGAAGCUAUAAAUUUUCUUCAGAGCAGUAUAGGAGUGUCUGAUAAGCAUCCACGUAGUCUGAAAGCAGUAGAGUCUGUUUUGCAUUUGGAAAUUAUUAAUACCUCAUCUAAGAUGCUUGUAGAGGCUUUCAAGGUGGCUUUCAUUGUUUUUGCCAUGGGCAAUGUCCUCACUCCUUCUGCCAAACAUGACUAUGUAAAUGUUAAUUUCUGGGGAGCCUUGAGCCAGUCGGAAGAAAUAUACCAAUUCAAUUGGGUU